GGGCGAGUAACUCAGUUGGUUAGAGUGUCUGCUCGACACGCAGGAAGUCGGGAGUUCGAAUCUCUCCUCGCCCACCA
rnacentral:tRNA from 7 species